rnacentral:rRNA from 1 species
UGGUGAGUAACGCGUGGGUGACGUACCCUUAGAUGGGGAUAGCUGUUAGAAAUAGCAGAUAAUACCGAAUAAGGUGCAUUUUGUUAGAGGAAUGCAGGAAAGGAUCUUUAGAUCCGCUGAAGGAACGGCCCGCGUACUAUUAGCUAGUUGGUGAGGUAACGGCCCACCAAGGCGAUGAUAGUUACCCGGCCUAAGAGGGUGAUCGGGCACAUUGGGACUGAGAUACGGCCCAGACUCCUACGGGAGGCAGCAGCUAAGAAUAUUCCGCAAUGCACGAAAGUGUGACGGAGCGACGCCGCGUGGAUGAUGAAAAGGCCGGAAGGUUGUAAAGUCCUUUUAAGUAUGAAGAAUAAGCAUUGUGAGAGAAACGCAGUGCGGUGACGGUAGUGCCUGAAUAAGGGGCGGCUAAUUACGUGCCAGCAGCAGC